AGCCCCGUGGUGUAGUGGACUAAUCUCUUGAGAUAAUCUGAAGAGAGUUCAAUCAUAGUGCCCUUUGGAGGCAUUGACCGCGGUUCGAAUCCGCGCGGGGCUA
rnacentral:tRNA from 1 species